GAAAUUUGAGCUCAUACCGGAUAAUGUCUUCGGACCAAAGAUUUAUCGCCUUUGGAUGAGCCCGCGUAAGAUUAUCUCGUUGGGAGGGUAAAGGCCUACCAAGGCGACGAUCUUUAGAUGGUCUGAGAGGAUGAUCAGCCACACUGGGACUGAGACACGGCCCAGACUCCUACGGGAGGCAGCAGUGGGGAAUAUUGGACAAUGGGCGCAAGCCUGAUCCAGCAAUGCCGCGUGAGUGAUGAAGGCCUUCGGGUCGUAAAGCUCUUUUACCAGGGAUGAUAAUGACAGUACCUGGAGAAUAAGCUCCGGCUAACUCCGUGCCAGCAGCCGCGGUAAUACGGAGGGAGCUAGCGUUGUUCGGAAUUACUGGGCGUAAAGCGCGCGUACGCGGCUUGCCAAGUCAGGGGUGAAAUCCCGGGGCUCACCCCGGAACUGCCCUUGAAACUAGCAGGCUGAAUCUUGGAAGGUCAGUGGAUUCCGAGUGUAGAGGUGAAUUCGUAGAUAUUCGGAAGAACACCAGUGGCGAAGGCGACUGACUGGAAAGUGUUGACGCUGAGGGCGAAAGCGUGAGGAGCAACAGGAUUAGAUACCCUGGUAGUCCACGCCGUAAACGAUG
rnacentral:rRNA from 1 species